AUGCUUGCUUCGGCACAUGUACUAAAAUUGUAAUGAUAGAGAGAAGAUUAGCAUGGCCCCUGCACAAGGAUGACAUGCAAAUUCGUGAAGCGUUCCAUUUUUUU